rnacentral:sRNA from 1 species
AUCGCUUCUCGGCCUUUUGGCUAAGAUCAAGUGUAGUUGUCAUGCUAAAGUCUUAUCUAUAAUUGGUACAAAAUGAAUAUGAAGAAAAUAAUCCCA